rnacentral:rRNA from 1 species
UACGUAGGGUGCAAGCGUUGUCCGGAAUUAUUGGGCGUAAAGAGCUCGUAGGCGGUCUGUCGCGUCGGCUGUGAAACUCGGGGCUCAACUCCGAGCUUGCAGUCGAUACGGGCAGGCUAGAGUUCGGUAGGGGAGAUCGGAAUUCCUGGUGUAGCGGUGAAAUGCGCAGAUAUCAGGAGGAACACCGGUGGCGAAGGCGGAUCUCUGGGCCGAUACUGACGCUGAGGAGCGAAAGCGUGGGAGCGAACAGG